rnacentral:rRNA from 1 species
UUCAACAAUGGAUCUCUUGGUUCCGGCAUCGAUGAAGAACGCAGCGAAAUGCGAUAACUAAUGUGAAUUGCAGAAUUCAGUGAAUCAUCGAGUCUUUGAACGCACAUUGCGCCCCCUGGUAUUCCGGGGGGCAUGCCUGUCCGAGCGUCAUUG